rnacentral:rRNA from 1 species
GACGAACGCUGGCGGCGUGCUUAACACAUGCAAGUCGAACGGAAAGGCCCUGCUUUUGUGGGGUGCUCGAGUGGAGAACGGGUGAGUAACACGGGAGUAACCUGCCCUUGACUUUGGGAUAACUUCAGGAAACUGGGGCUAAUACCGGAUAGGAGCUCCUGCUGCAUGGUGGGGGUUGGAAAGUUUCGGCGGUUGGGGAUGGACUCGCGGCUUAUCAGCUUGUUGGUGGGGUAGUGGCUUACCAAGGCUUUGACGGGUAGCCGGCCUGAGAGGGUGACCGGCCACAUUGGGACUGAGAUACGGCCCAGACUCCUACGGGAGGCAGCAGUGGGGAAUAUUGCACAAUGGGCGGAAGCCUGAUGCAGCAACGCCGCGUGCGGGAUGACGGCCUUCGGGUUGUAAACCGCUUUCGCCUGUGACGAAGCGUGAGUGACGGUAAUGGGUAAAGAAGCACCGGCUAACUACGUG